rnacentral:tRNA from 7 species
GGUCGCGUAGCUCAGUUGGAUAGAGCGACAGACUUCUAAUCUGUAGGUCGUGGGUUCGAGCCCCACCGUGAUCG